rnacentral:rRNA from 1 species
UACGUAGGGUGCAAGCGUUGUCCGGAAUUAUUGGGCGUAAAGAGCGUGUAGGCGGCCCGGUUAGUCCGCUGUGAAAGUCCAGGGCUCAACCCUGGAAUGCCGGUGGAUACUGUCGGGCUAGAGUCCGGAAGGGGCGAGUGGAAUUCCUGGUGUAGCGGUGAAAUGCGCAGAUAUCAGGAAGAACACCAAUGGCGAAAGCAGCUCUCUGGGACGGUACUGACGCUGAGACGCGAAAGCGUGGGGAGCGAACAGG